UUUUGUUUUUUUUUCAUGUUUUUAUUAUUUUCAUAUAAAUAUAAAUUCAUCUUUAUAAGAUCUGCUGUUUCUGUUUCUGUGCAAACGGGACGAAAAGGUCAAAGUAGAACCAGGACACGCCUCCAGGCGGGGCUAAAGUCAGGACACGCCUCCAGGCGGAGCUAAAGUCAGGACACGCCUAAAGGCAGAGAUAAAGUCAGGACACGCCUCCAGGCGGAGCUAAAGUCAGGACACGCCUCCAGGUUAAAGUCAGGACACGCCUCCAGGUUUAAGUCAGGACACGCCUGCAGGUUAAAGUCAGGACACGCCUCCAGGCGGAGCUAAAGUCAGGACACGCCUCCAGGUGGAGCUAAAGUCAGGACAUGCCUCCAGGUUAAAGUUAGGACACGCCUCCAGGUGGAGCUAAAGUCAGGACACGCCUCCAGGUGGAGCUAAAGUUAGGACACGCCUCCAGGUUAAAGUCAGGACACGCCUCCAGGUGGAGCUAAAGUCAGGACACGCCUCCAGGUUAAAGUCAGGACACGCCUCCAGGUGGAGCUAAAGUCAGGACACGCCUCCAGGUUAAAGUCAGGACACGCCUCCAGGUGGACCUUAAGUCAGGACACGCCUCCAGGUGGAGCUAAAGUCAGGACACGCCUCCAGGUUAAAGUCAGGACACGCCUCCAGGUGGAGCUAAAGUCAGGACACGCCUCCAGGCGGAGCUAAAGUCAGGACACGCCUCCAGGUUAAAGUCAGGACACGCCUCCAGGUUAAAGUCAGGACACGCCUCCAGGUGGAGCUAAAGUCAGGACACGCCUCCAGGUGGAGCUAAAGUUAGGACACGCCUCCAGGUUAAAGUCAGGACACGCCUCCAGGUGGAGCUAAAGUCAGGACACGCCUCCAGGUUAAAGUCAGGACACGCCUCCAGGUGGAGCUAAAGUCAGGACACGCCUCCAGGUUAAAGUCAGGACACGCCUCCAGGUGGACUUUAAGUCAGGACACGCCUCCAGGUGGAGCAAAAGUCAGGACACGCCUCCAGGUUAAAGUCAGGACACGCCUCCAGGUUAAAGUCAGGACACGCCUCCAGGUGGAGCUAAAGUCAGGACACGCCUCCAGGUUAAAGUCAGGACACGCCUCCAGGCGGAGCUAAGGUCAGGAUUUUCUUCUUCAUCAGAAACAGAAAAUUAAAAAAACUAAAGAGGAAAAAAGUUCUGACGUUUUUGUCUCAGACUGACCCACAGAACCUCUGAGGGGGUCUCAGGUCCGGUCUCAGGUCCAGUCUCAGGUCCAGUCUCAGGUCCAGUCUCAGGUCCGG